rnacentral:rRNA from 1 species
AUACGUAGGUGACAAGCGUUAUCCGGAUUUACUGGGCGUAAAGGGCGUGUAGGCGGUCUUGCAAGUCAGAAGUGAAAUUCCUGAGCUCAACUCGGGCGCUGCUUCUGAAACUGCAGGACUUGAGUGCUGGAGGGGAUAGCGGAAUUCCUAGUGGAGCGGUAAAAUGCGCAGAUAUUAGGAAGAACACCGGUGGCGAAGUCGGCUAUCUGGACAGUAACGGACGCUGAGGCGCGAAAGCGUGGGGAGCAAACAGGAUUAGAUCCCCUGGUAUUCCACGCCGUAAACGAUGAAUACUAGGUGUAGGGGGUAUCGACUCCCUCUGUGCCGCAGUUAACACAAUAAGUAUUCCGCCUGGGGAGUACGGCCGCAAGGUUGAAACUCAAAGGAAUUGACGGGG